rnacentral:rRNA from 1 species
CUUCCGGAGCUAACGCGUUAAUCGACCGCUUGGGGAGUACGGCCGCAAGGUUAAAACUCAAAUGAAUUGACGGGGGCCCGCACAAGCGUGGAGCAUGUGGUUUAAUUCGAUGCAACGCGAAGAACCUACCUACUCUUGACAUCCAGAGAACUUUCCAGAGAUGGAUUGGUGCCUUCGGGAACUCUGAGACAGGUGCUGCAUGGCUGUCGUCAGCUCGUGUUGUGAAAUGUUGGGUUAAGUCCCGCAACGAGCGCAACCCUUAUCCUUUGUUGCCAGCGGUUCGGCCGGGAACUCAAAGGAGACUGCCAGUGAUAAACUGGAGGAAGGUGGGGAUGACGUCAAGUCAUCAUGGCCCUUACGAGUAGGGCUACACACGUGCUACAAUGGCAUAUACAAAGAGAAGCGACCUCGCGAGAGCAAGCGGACCUCAUAAAGUAUGUCGUAGUCCGGAUUGGAGUCUGCAACUCGACUCCAUGAAGUCGGAAUCGCUAGUAACCGUAGAUCAGAAUGCUACGGUGAAUACGUUCCCGGGCCUUGUACACACCGCCCGUCACACCAUGGGAGUGGGUUGCAAAAGAAGUAGGUAGCUUAACCUUCGGGAGGGCGCUUACCACUUUGUGAUUCAUGACUGGGGUGAAGUCGUAACAAGGUAACCAAGGGCGAAUUCCAG